GUCAGUCAUAGUAGUAUGAUAGGUGUUGUUGUACAGGGUCAGUCAUAGUAGUAUGAUAGGUGUUGUUUUACAGGGUCAGUCAUAGUAGUAUGAUAGGUGUUGUUUUACAGGGUCAGUCAUAGUAGUAUGAUAGGUGUUGUUUUACAGGGUCAGUCAUAGUAGUAUGACAGGUGUUGUUUUACAGGGUCAUAGUAGUAUGGUGACCAUGGAGCAAAUUAGAUGUAAGUGUCUUGCUUAAGGGCACAUCGACAGAUUUUCACCUUGACGGGUCAGGUUUUCAAACCAGCGAUACCAGUUACUGACCCACCACUCUAACCACUAGUCUACCUGACCAUACCAGUUACUGACCCAACACUCUAACCACUAGUCUAUCUGACCAUACCAGUUACUGACCCACCACUCUAACCACUAGUCUAUCUGACCAUACCAGUUACUGACCCACCACUCUAACCACUAGUCUACCUGACCAUACCAGUUACUGACCCAC
ensembl:lncRNA